AUCAAAACUUUCAACAACGGAUCUCUUGGCUCUGGCAUCGAUGAAGAACGCAGCGAAAUGCGAUAAGUAAUGUGAAUUGCAGAAUUCAGUGAAUCAUCGAAUCUUUGAACGCACAUUGCGCCCGCGAGUAUUCUCGCGGGCAUGCCUGUUCGAGCGUC
rnacentral:rRNA from 1 species